AACGAACGCUGGCGGCAUGCCUAACACAUGCAAGUCGAACGAGACCUUCGGGUCUAGUGGCGCACGGGUGCGUAACGCGUGGGAACCUGCCCUUAGGUUCGGAAUAACUCCCCGAAAGGGGUGCUAAUACCGGAUAAUGUCUUCGGCCCAAAGAUUUAUCGCCUUUGGAUGGGCCCGAGUUGGAUUCGCUAGUUGGUAGGGUAAAAGCCUACCACGGCGACGAUCCAUAGCUGGGCUGAGAGGAUGAUCAGCCACACUGAGACUGGGACGCGGCCGAGACUCCUACGGGAGGGAGGAGAGGGGGAUAGUGGACAAUGGGCGAAAGGCUGAAGCAGCAAUGACGGGAGAGUGAUGAAAGCAGUAAGGUUGUAAAGCGUUUUUAACCGGGAAGAUAAUGACGGUACCGGGAGAAUAAGCUCCGGCUAACUACGUG
rnacentral:rRNA from 1 species